rnacentral:rRNA from 1 species
GAUGAACGCUGGCGGCGUGCCUAAUACAUGCAAGUCGAACGGGGAGUAUUAAUUUCGAUUUUUACUCCUAGUGGCGAACGGGUGAGUAACGCGUUGGUGACCUGCCCCGAAGCGGGGGAUAACAGUUCGAAAGGACUGCUAAUACCCCAUGUGGUCGUACAGGUUAGAGACUGAACGACUAAAGGAGCAAUCCACUUCGGGAGGGGCCUGCGUCCCAUCAGCUAGUUGGUAAGGUAACGGCCUACCAAGGCGAUGACGGGUAGGGGACCUGAGAGGGUGGUCCCCCACACUGGCACUGAAACACGGGCCAGACACCUACGGGUGGCAGCAGUAGGGAAUAUUGCACAAUGGGCGAAAGCCUGAUGCAGCAACGCCGCGUGCGCGAAGAAGGCCUUCGGGUUGUAAAGCGCUUUUCUUGAGGAAGAGAAAGGACGGUACUCCAGGAAUAAGGAUCGGCUAACUACGUGCCAGCAGCCGCGGUAACACGUAGGAUCCGAGCGUUAUCCGAAUUUACUGGGCGUAAAGCGCGUGUAGGCGGCCGGGUAAGUUGGACGUGAAAGCUCCUGGCUCAACUAGGAGAGGUCGUUCAAAACUGCCUGGCUAGAGGGCGACAGAGGGAGGUGGAAUUCCCAGUGUAGUGGUGAAAUGCGUAGAUAUCGGGAGGAACACCAGUGGCGAAGGCGGCCUCCUGGGUCGCUCCUGACGCUCAGACGCGAAAGCUAGGGGAGCAAACGGGAUUAGAUACCCCGGUAGUCCUAGCUGUAAACGAUGUGGACUUGGCGUUGGUGGUGUCAAAGCCAUCAGUGCCGUAGCUAACGCGAUAAGUCCACCGCCUGGGGACUACGACCGCAAGGUUAAAACUCAAAGGAAUUGGCGG